GGAUUAUAGUUUAAAAAAAACAAUUAUAUUGCAAAUAAUAAUUAUAGAUAUUUAAUCUGA
rnacentral:tRNA from 1 species